AAGUAUUACUGUAAUAGGUUUCCUGGAACAAAAAUUGUUAUAAAACUAGAUUUUAACCUGCGGUAUACCGCAGGGACAAUUUAUUUUUUAAAUUAGUAUAUAUAAAAGUUUGCAAAUUAAAUUUA
rnacentral:sRNA from 1 species